AUACUUAGCUGUCAGGGGAGACACCAUGCUCACGAAGGUGGUUUUCCUAGGGCAAGGCUUAUCCAUUGCACUCAGGAUGUGCUGACUCUUGUGAUUUCCGCAAAUGUGGGAAACUCGACUGCAUAACUUGUGAUAGUGAGGAACUGCAUUUGCACUCUCCCCU